UAUAGAUUUAUAUUAAAAAAAAAAUAUAAUCCGCUACUUCUCUAAUGACAGAUUUCUGACUUUAUAUCGGCUAAAGCUGAUUUUGGGACUGAAUUGGCAAUCAGUACAAGAACUGAGCUUGAUCCAGGUGAUGAGACUUAUUACUAGAAAAAUAUAUGCUUUUCUUCAUGAUGGCAUUCUGUUUGAUCAACUGUUUGGUGGCAGCAACAUGGUAUAGAUUGUUUGGGAGUUGCAGCAAUUAGCUGUACACAUACUAAGUCAAACCUGCUCUUCAUUUGGAUGUGAACACAAUUGGAGCAAAUAUGAUCAGAUUCGCUAUUUUACUUUGAAAGGCAAAACCAUCUCGCGCACAAGAAGUUUACUGAUUUUUGUAUGCUCACUAUAACUUGAGACUCAGGGAGUGCCAAAUAAGACAGUCAAAUGAGUUGAUAUCCCUUGAUAGUGUUCUACUGUUAUUGUAGAAGGUUUACUCAAUGACUGGGUUGACGAGCCAUGCAAGAUGAUGAAUUAUAUUUUACACCUGCAGUAGAAAAAUAGUGCAUAUCUGACACCAGACCUCCCCUUUUUUCCCUUUUUCCAUGCCUAGUUGCCUCGCUGUUUCCUUUUUAUUGUACGAGUCAUAUGUGGAUACUGCUUAGCAUAUGCUGAUGAAUUUGACUUCUGAUUUAUCAUCAGCAAGUUAUCUUUGACCAUGGAGAUGGAUACGACUAUGAUAUACUCGAGUAUGAUGAUGGUAACUCGGAUGUGAGGAGGGGAUCUCUAGACAUGGGGACACUAGCAGAUCUAGAUCCCUUGGAAGUACAUCCUAAUGCUGGUCCAGCCACAGGUGAUGAUGCAGAGCUCGAUUUUCUUGAGGAUGACUUAACUGAUUAGUUGAAUUACAGGACUUCAUCAACAUAACAAGCAGGCAGCGCGCUGGAGCGGAAGUGCGGAACUGGGAAGGCAGCUGUAUAUACCCUUUUUGCAAUGUAAUGAUCAUUCUGUUGCAACAGCCUUAUUUGUUCUUUGCUACAGUCUAAUGUUCCCAGUGAAAACAAUCAAUUAUUUUGUUAGAAGAAACUAUUUCCUGCUUGUUAGAGGUCA